AAUCCACAUCCGGGUUGUAUUCAAGAUCCCUCUCUGGAUCAUCUUCUUCUUCAAAAGUCUUUCUCCCCCUUCAGGUUCCCUUUCCUUAGCUUCUCCUCAGGGUCCUGAAAUGGUUAUUCAAUAACCAAUGAGACCACGUCUCAGCGAGUCCUACCCACUAAGACUCGAUUAAUAAACUAAUACGCCAUUCGGUUGCCUAAGCACAACACGAGUCAGAGGACUUACCUUAGCCUCAGUUCCAACCUGCAAUUCAAGGUUAAACAUAGAUAUUCAAACAAUUCACGACAUCCGAUCACGCAUUGAUCAAUCGACUAAGUCGAUUACAUGUCAGCCAGACCCUUUCUAGGUCAUUCCCACUCAUACCACGCUUUCUCAGUGGUGUACUCAUUCACCAAAUCACAUGUGUUUCUCGGGCGUCGUUUUCGCCAAUGACAUACCGAUCACCGACACCGUGCGUUCUUUAAGGCGCCGUUUUCACCAGUGAUAACCUUGAUCACCGAACCACGUGUCCUUUCAAGGGCGUCGUUUUCGCCAAGGUGACAUCGGCUAUAGACAACAUCGUGCGUUCUUUAAGGCGCCGUUUUCACCAGUGAUAUUCCCAUAACCACCGAACCACGUGUGUCUAUAAGUCAUUUACGUGCGUUCUUUAAGGCGCCGUUUUCGCCAGUGAUACUUCCAAUCACCGAACCACGUAUGUCCAAUAACAUCGUACCUGAUUGGUCUCAUCAUUCUUCCUACUAUAUAGCCCAUCAACGUACUGGCGCUAUAUAUCCAUGCUUAGCCAUUACCAAUCAAAUACUCAAUAACAAACAAUUUAGGACAAUUCAUAAAAUUCCACAAUAAAUUCAAUUCCACACAACGUAGAGCUCAAAUAAAUAAACGGUCUGCACCACGACAAUCGGCACGAAAUUCCGGUCACCGGCCAUCCCGGUUGAAUUUCCGGAAAAAUAAUUAAUUAAAUAAAUAAAUUUCGAAAAUUAAAUAAAUAAACAUAAAAAUCCAAUUUAGGCCCAUAUUGCCUUAUUGGAGCCCGAAACGGGUCGGGAAAAAUCCCGAGAUACAUUCAAUAAAUAACCAAACAUUUCUACUUGCUAAUAGCUAGGUCUAACCACCUAACAUGCAUCAUUAAGUCACUAAACUAAUUGUUCUAACCUAAUCUAACCACCUAAUUGCACUUAAUUAAAUCUAACCAACCUUAAGCAUAAUUAGCAAACUAAUAAAGCAUUAGUGAGUAAAACUCACUUGACAAAAGCGGAGACCGAAUCACCGCAACGGCGACGCGACGGCGGCCGAAAUAGGACUUUCGACGACACCGGCGGGCUUGGGACCGGGCCUUGAUCUUGGCCCAACAAAUCUCAGUCCAAAUGAGAUUUGUUCUUGCACUGGAAUGGGCUGGACCUGCUGAAUUGGGCUUGCGAAAUUCACUUGGGCUUCAAGUUUCUUUGCUGAAAAAAAUUGGGCUUGGCCAAUUAACUCACAUGGACUGGACUGGGCUUGAACUUGGGCCAAACUGAUGCUGAUCACUUGGGCUGGAAUUUUGCAAGCUGAGCUGGAACUUACAAGCUGAUGGGCCAAUUUUCGUUGGGCUAAAUUCGAGUAAACGUGGAGCGGUGGCAGAGAAAAAUCGGUCGCUGCUGCAGGGGAGAUUCGGUGGCCUUCGCUGGUUGCUUCGAGCUGAAGAUUAGCCACGCUUGGAGAAUGGUGUGAGCUGCUGGGACAAGUGGCGCGGACGUGCGGAGGCUUGGACGUCGCUGCAGCUGAGUUCAAUAGAGCUGAAGACACGCGGCCACAAGGUCAACAAACCAGGAAAUUGGCUGGCUUCAGUGGAGUCUUCGGUGGCCGCGACUUCAAGUGGUCAACGAAGGAGCUCCUGUGAGCUUACUGUUGACCAGGGAGACACGCAGCUUGGAGGAAUUCUCGGUGGGGUUUGAUUCGUGGCAGAAGAGAGAGGAAUGAUGGUGGGAUUUCGGUGGACGGUUCGUGAAGUUGCUGGGGAGACCGUGCGGUUUGGUGGGGUGCGGAGUUGGCGUGAGUGGCCGACCAGCUCGGUGGAAUCGUGACUUCAAGUCAACCAAGAACUUCACGCGGUGGGGAACUUGACCAAGACGCGGGCUGUUGAAGACACAAAACACGGAGUAGCGCCAGUGAAGAUCCCGAGAGCUGGCUUCUUGGUGGAUCGGUCUUUGGUCUUCAGUGCAGCUGGUCUCUCAAUCUUCAAGCAGCGGCAAUGGAAAGCAAAAAGGGAGGUUGUCGCACGAAGGGAAAUGAGAAGGGAGAGAGAGGAUGGAGGUGGACGGUGGGUGAGAGAAAGAGAGAAUGGAUAGAGAUGAGUGAGGGGCCCUUUGGCUUUUAA
rnacentral:lncRNA from 1 species